GAGAACGCAGCGAAAUGCGAUACGUAGUGUGAAUUGCAGAAUUCCGCGAAUCAUCGAGUCUUUGAACGCAAGUUGCGCCCGAGGCUCGUCCGAGGGCAUUUCCGUUAGAGCGUCACC
rnacentral:rRNA from 2 species